UACAGAGGUCCCAAGCGUUGUUCGGAUUCACUGGGCGUAAAGGGUGCGUAGGUGGCGAGGUAAGUCGGAUGUGAAAGCUCGGAGCUCAACUCCGAAAUGGCAUUGGAAACUACCUUGCUCGAGGGUUGGAGGGGGACUGGAAUUCUCGGUGUAGCAGUGAAAUGCGUAGAUAUCGAGAGGAACACCAGUGGCGAAGGCGAGUCCCUGGACAACUCCUGACACUGAGGCACGAAAGCUAGGGGAGCAAACAGG
rnacentral:rRNA from 1 species